rnacentral:rRNA from 1 species
AUUGAACGCUGGCGGCAGGCCUAACACAUGCAAGUCGAACGGUAGCACAGAGAGCUUGCUCUUGGGUGACGAGUGGCGGACGGGUGAGUAAUGUCUGGGAAACUGCCCGAUGGAGGGGGAUAACUACUGGAAACGGUAGCUAAUACCGCAUAACGUCUUCGGACCAAAGUGGGGGACCUUCGGGCCUCACACCAUCGGAUGUGCCCAGAUGGGAUUAGCUAGUAGGUGGGGUAAAGGCUCACCUAGGCGACGGUCCCUAGCUGGUCUGAGAGGAUGACCAGCCACACUGGAACUGAGACACGGUCCAGACUCCUACGGGAGGCAGCAGUGGGGAAUAUUGCACAAUGGGCGCAAGCCUGAUGCAGCCAUGACGCGUGUAUGAAGAAGGCCUUCGGGUUGUAAAGUACUUUCAGCGGGGAGGAAGGCGUUAAGGUAAAUAACCUUGGCGAUUGACGUUACCCGCAGAAGAAGCACCGGCUAACUCCGUGCCAGCCGCCGCCGUAA